UGUGGACUUCGGGAGAUUCUGCCGGAAGUGUGUGGGCGGGACGCUGUUUCGACACUGCAGGGAAUAUUCCAGCCUCUUUUGAGGCCUGCAGCAGGCCAGUUGAGGCAUCACCAUUGAAGUUGCUGGUGCAGUGUACACCCUGGCACAAGGACCUUAUCUGAGCCCCCACACUCUCCUGCUUGCUGAUGGGCAAGCCCUGGGCUGGCUGAUACCUCCAAUCUCUUUGGAGACAGCUGGCCAUAUGGCAGAAAGGCUGGAAUGGCAUCUCCACUCUGUGACCCAGUCUCCCACUUGCCCCCAAAAGAAUAUUUCUUCUGACAGUGGACAGCUGACAUAUCACCACUUUCCUUCUACUGUGAGUGUCUCUGGAUGGGCAGAAAGGAAUGGCCAGCCCCUGGUUAUGGUCAUCUAAGGUCACCUCUGAAAUGCUGUGAGCCCCUCUUCCUUCCUCUCCUCUGCUAUUUCCCAUCUCUGCUGUUGGCAGGAGAAUAGAACCCUGGCUGCCAGAGAUGCAAGUGUGUGACGAUAUGGGUGCUGGUGCAUAUUUAGUAUGUGCCUGUGUCCAGCCAUGUGCAUGUGUG
rnacentral:lncRNA from 1 species